rnacentral:rRNA from 1 species
ACCGUGCAAAGGUAGCAUAAUAAUUAGUUUUUUAAUUGAAAGCUAGCAUGAAUGAUUGGACGAGAAAAUAGCUGUCUCAGUUUAAUUUUAUUAGAAUUUUAUUUUUAAGUAAAAAAGCUUAAAUUUUAUUAAAAGACGAGAAGACCCUAUAGAGUUUUAUAGUUAAUUAAUUAUUAAUCUUAAAGUAUUAUUUUAUUAAUAUUAAAUUAAUUAUUUUAUUGGGGCGAUAGAGAAAUAUUAUUAACUUUUUUUAUAAGUAAACAUUAAUUUAUGAUUUUUUGAUCCAUUAUUUAUGAUUAUAAGAUUAAGUUACCUUAGGGAUAACAGCGUAAUUUUUUUUUAGAGUUCUUAUCGAAAGAAAAGAUU